rnacentral:rRNA from 1 species
CCUACGGGUGGCAGCAGUGAGGAAUAUUGGUCAAUGGGCGCUAGCCUGAACCAGCCAAGUAGCGUGCAGGAUGACUGCCCUAUGGGUUGUAAACUUCUUUUAUAUGGGAAUAAAGUGCAGUAUGUAUACUGCUUUUCGUGUACAUUAUGAAUAAGGAGAGGCUAACUCUGUGCCAGCAGCGGCGGUAAUACGGGGGAUCCGAGCGUUAUCCGGAUUUAUUGGGUUUAAAGGGAGCGUAGGCGGGUUGUUAAGUCAGUUGUGAAAGUUUGCGGCUCAACCGUAAAAUUGCAGUUGAUACUGGCAGCCUUGAGUACAGGAGAGGUAGGAGGAAUUCGUGGUGUAGCGGUGAAAUGCUUAGAUAUCACGAAGAACUCCGAUCGCGAAGGCAGCCUGCUGGACUGUAACUGACGCUGAUGCUCGAAAGUGUGGGUAUCAAACAGGAUUAGAUACCCGAGUAGUC